rnacentral:rRNA from 1 species
ACUAGUAGUAGUAACCGUGCCCAGUCAGUACCUAGAUGGGAGACCACAUGGGAAAGCUAGGUUGCUGCUGGAA